GGUUGCGAUCAUACCAGCACUAAUGCACCGGAUCCCAUCAGAAUCCGCAGUUAAGCGUGCUUGGGCCGAGAGUAGUACUAGGAUGGGUGACCCCCUGGGAAGUCCUCGUGUUGCACCCC
rnacentral:rRNA from 1 species